UACAGAGGGUGCAAGCGUUGUUCGGAAUUAUUGGGCGUAAAGCGCGUGUAGGCGGCUUUGCAAGUCGGGUGUGAAAGCCCUCAGCUCAACUGAGGAAGUGCGCCCGAAACUGCAGAGCUUGAGCACCGGAGAGGAUGGCGGAAUUCCCCAAGUAGAGGUGAAAUUCGUAGAUAUGGGGAGGAACACCGGUGGCGAAGGCGGCCAUCUGGACGGAUACUGACGCUGAGACGCGAAAGCGUGGGGAGCAAACAGG
rnacentral:rRNA from 1 species